rnacentral:lncRNA from 1 species
GUCCUCCUCUCUUGCCUGCCCCUCCAGACCUGGCUGUCAUCUGCUCGGGCAGGCCAAGGGGGCUGUGGCCUUGUGUCCCUCCCCUGCUGAAGGCCCAGGACCCUCCUCAAUUCAAAGGGGAACAUGUGGCCAUUACAAUUACUGGUGCCAUGCAGGACUUCAGCUCCAGGCCUCAGGACCACAGGCAGCUCCUGGAGUUGGACGAGGGUGAGGAGAGAGGGCACAGGAACGGGGGCCGGUGCCUGGGUAUAAGAAGACCCUUGUGGGCAGGGAGAGGGAGAGGAGGGGUGAAAGAGGACAGAAGCCCCCGGUCUUGAUAGCUGGCCUGCCAGAGUGUGGGCAGGUGGCCUCUCAUCUGAGUUGAGCAUCUUGGUGAGCCCCAACCCUCCCGCCUGGGGGUCUCUGCCCAACCUGGUCCCUGGCCAGUCAGCCAGCAAGCCCCUCUGCAGCCCUUUCCAGAGGCUGCUGUGAGUCCGUGCCCACCUGCAGUCUCCCGCAGGGCCCUGGGAGGGGAAGGGGGGUGCAGGCGGCCCCAGCACCCAGCCUCACAGACACUGUUCCUCGGGAGCCGUUUCUGGGGUGCAGCUCCGACUCACACCCCAGAGCACCUUGGAGGAAGGAGCAGCAGGCCCCAGGUAGGUGCCGGUGGGGGGGCCCGUCUGCUUUGUCGCAUUGGCAACCCAGCCCUGGAGCUGGGGGUCGGGGGGUCGCUGCCUGGAAGGCACAUAAAGAAAGAUGGAGCCUGGAAUUUUUCCCUUUGGAAAAAGAAAACUUGUUCUAAAAGGGGAAAGAUUGAUGCUCUUGCUUUCCCACACUUGGUUUGAAGCCAACGAGGUGGUUUCAGAAGAAAUUUUCCUCUCCUCUAUUAAAUGUAACCAAACACGAUCGACAUUUGCAGAUCACACGGGGACCUCCAGGCAGCAGAGCUUAGGAACCUUCCUGCCUUCUGCCUGGCCAGGCGAGAACAGACGCACCUCUCACCCCCUGGCCAGACAGCCGGGCAGGGGCUGUGGGCAGGAGGGAGGUGGGGGCUCCUCAGGGCCCCAAUGUCAGGAGGUGUCCCAGACAAGAGUGGAGGUGGAGGCC